rnacentral:rRNA from 1 species
AUUGAACGCUGGCGGCAGGCCUAACACAUGCAAGUCGAACGAGUGGCGGACGGGUGAGUAAUGUCUGGGAAACUGCCUGAUGGAGGGGGAUAACUACUGGAAACGGUAGCUAAUACCGCAUACCAUCAGAUGUGCCCAGAUGGGAUUAGCUUGUUGGUGGGGGAACGGCUCACCAAGGCGACGAUCCCUAGCUGGUCUGAGAGGAUGACCAGGCACACUGUAACUGGGACACGGUCCACACGCCUACGGGAGGCAGCAGUGGGGAAGAUUGCACAAUGGGCGCAAGCCGGAGGCAGCCAUGCCGCGUGUAUGAGGAAGGCCUUCGGGUUGUAAAGUACUUUCAGAGGGGAGGCGUUCCCCGCAGAAGAAGCACCGGCUAACUCCGUGCGAGCAGCCGCGGUAAUAC